GUCUUUAGGAAAGCUCUCAUUUUUUGUGUUUCACAUGAAACAGUGUUCUGCUCUAUCGCUCUGAGCAUGGCUGGCACAGAGUUAAGUGGGGGAGGAAAACUCUUGGUUUCUAUACUUGUUUGUAAAAUGGCAUUCUGUUCUAUUGCUGGAAGAGCCUAGCUGGAGAAAAACAAGCAGGGCCAGAGUGCAACAGCGGCUGGACAGGUAGAGAGCAGCUGUCAAGGAGCAUUCAGGGCACAAGGACUGUCCGUAAGUGGAAGCAUCUACUGAGGCUUAGACGACUAUAACCAUGAAUAUCAAUAAGAUCCGCGAUCCUUCUCAGCGUCGGUCCACGCUGCCUUUGUGAGCUAUAACACUCAAUGCGAAGCUCUGCAGCAUCACUCCUGGAGCCAGCGAGACCACAAACCCACCGGGAAGAAUGAACAACUCCAGAUGUGCCGCCUUUAUGAGCUGCAACA